CUUCAUUGUAAAUAUAAAACUUCAUUGUAAAUAUAAUACUCCUUCGCAAUGAUAUAACAACUUCCAUGUCACAUUUAUAAUUGUCAUCACUAAUAAUCACUAAUAUAAACUUCAUUACUGUGCCUGCAAAUCAGGGCUCAAUCUAUGGGCUCGAGUUACCUGUUCGUGGGUAUGCGUAUUGCGCGCUUAGUAUUGCGCAAUAUAUUUGGCGGGAAAUCACAAAUAGCGAAAUUCAAAAUGGCGGUCAAUGUUCGUUUUACUAUUGUUCCCAGUCAACUGCGAAACGACCGGUUUUUUAGGCGCUUUGUCAGUGACAGUUUUGUCAAUUACGAAGGACAUGUUUG